GCUCGCGUAGCUCAACUGGCAGAGCAGGGGACUCUUAAUCCCAAGGUUCAGGGUUCGACUCCCUGCGCGAGCA
rnacentral:tRNA from 1 species